rnacentral:SRP_RNA from 1 species
GCUGGGUGUGGUGGUGCGCACCUGUAGUCCCAACUACUCGGGAGGCUGAGGCAGGAGAAUCGCUUGAACCCGGGAGGCAGAGGUUGCAGUGAGCCAAGAUCUCACCACUGCACUCCAGCCUGGGUGAAAGAGCGAGACUCUGUCUCAA